rnacentral:rRNA from 1 species
GAUGAACGCUGGCGGCGUGCCUAAUACAUGCAAGUCGAGCGAACGGACGAGAAGCUUGCUUCUCUGAUGUUAGCGGCGGACGGGUGAGUAACACGUGGAUAACCUACCUAUAAGACUGGGAUAACUUCGGGAAACCGGAGCUAAUACCGGAUGAUAUUUUGAACCGCAUGGUUCAAAAGUGAAAGACGGUCUUGCUGUCACUUAUAGAUGGAUCCGCGCUGCAUUAGCUAGUUGGUAAGGUAACGGCUUACCAAGGCAACGAUGCAUAGCCGACCUGAGAGGGUGAUCGGCCACACUGGAACUGAGACACGGUCCAGACUCCUACGGGAGGCAGCAGUAGGGAAUCUUCCGCAAUGGGCGAAAGCCUGACGGAGCAACGCCGCGUGAGUGAUGAAGGUCUUCGGAUCGUAAAACUCUGUUAUUAGGGAAGAACAUAUGUGUAAGUAACUGUGCACAUCUUGACGGUACCUAAUCAGAAAGCCACGGCUAACUACGUGCCAGCAGCCGCGGUAAUACGUAGGUGGCAAGCGUUAUCCGGAAUUAUUGGGCGUAAAGCGCGCAUAGGCGGUUUUUUAAGUCUGAUGUGAAAGCCCACGGCUCAACCGUGGAGGGUCAUUGGAAACUGGAAAACUUGAGUGCAGAAGAGGAAAGUGGAAUUCCAUGUGUAGCGGUGAAAUGCACAGAGAUAUGGAGGAACACCAGUGGCGAAGGCGACUUUCUGGUCUGUAACUGACGCUGAUGUGCGAAAGCGUGGGGAUCAAACAGGAUUAGAUACCCUGGUAGUCCACGCCGUAAACGAUGAGUGCUAAGUGUUAGGGGGUUUCCGCCCCUUAGUGCUGCAGCUAACGCAUUAAGCACUCCGCCUGGGGAGUACGACCGCAAGGUUGAAACUCAAAGGAAUUGACGGGGACCCGCACAAGCGGUGGAGCAUGUGGUUUAAUUCGAAGCAACGCGAAGAACCUUACCAAAUCUUGACAUCCUUUGACAACUCUAGAGAUAGAGCCUUCCCCUUCGGGGGGGACAAAGUGACAGGUGGUGCAUGGUUGUCGUCAGCUCGUGUCGUGAGAUGUUGGGUUAAGUCCCGCAACGAGCGCAACCCUUAAGCUUAGUUGCCAUCAUUAAGUUGGGCACUCUAAGUUGACUGCCGGUGACAAACCGGAGGAAGGUGGGGAUGACGUCAAAUCAUCAUGCCCCUUAUGAUUUGGGCUACACACGUGCUACAAUGGACAAUACAAAGGGCAGCGAAACCGCGAGGUCAAGCAAAUCCCAUAAAGUUGUUCUCAGUUCGGAUUGUAGUCUGCAACUCGACUACAUGAAGCUGGAAUCGCUAGUAAUCGUAGAUCAGCAUGCUACGGUGAAUACGUUCCCGGGUCU